GUUUUAAAGGGCUGCAGGUGAGCUGAAGAAGCGGCCGAAGCUGAGAACCUGAUGGGAAUAGGACCAGCGGACACUGAGCCCUGGGGACAGACCAGAUCUAAAGUUGUAACUUCCACACGAUACUGAUCUGCUCGAAUAGUUUCUAUUUCUAUUCUGCGUCCCUGAGGAGAGAAUAUUUGGCACUGCAUAUAACAUUAAAAAAAAAAAAAAAAGAAAGAAA